UUCACUUAUCGUGUUUUUGUGAAUAAAUUUUUCUUUUAAAUAAAAUUUCGGAAUAGAAAUUUGUAAUUCUCACAAAAGAUACAUUUUACAAAACUUGUACCAGAAUGUGGAACUUCUGUUCACCAUCAGUUCCAGAAACCAAUUGGCCAGAAAUAAAUUUUAGCAUGUUUUGUGCAAAUUAGCAUACUAGAUGUUUUUAAAUUUAUGUGAAUAAUAUCAAGGCAGUAGUCAGUGAAGCCCAUUGAGGUAUGGUAGACACUGAUAUUAUAAUCGUCGAAGAGCAUCAAGUUGAUAGUCCGUGUAUUCAUGCGGCAAUUUACCUAUAGGAGAGCUAUUGAAGUUUUCAAGUGAAUUUUGAGACUCCAUUGUUACAGAGAAAAUUAGUAGUUUUGACAAACAAAAAUCGGGUUUCUUGACUGUAACUGGAACUAGUAAAAACGAUUUUACACCUGGGAAAUGGUAAUGUAUCAAUUUAUAAUCGGAAUACAAUAAUUAAAUUAUCAAAAUUGACAAACAGUUUGAAGAAUAAUACAGAGCAGUUAAAGACCUUGAAGGAGAUAUAUAAAAUUGGAACAUUUGAGAGUAUAGAAGAAAGUUUAAAUAAUGUAACGAAAGAAUUCAUUAAUUAGAGUUAAGAAAUAUUCAUAGAAAAGAUACAGCAAAACGAUGACUAUACAAGAUAAAAUUUUUUCUCUUUAUAUGUACAAAAGAUGUCUAUACAACAUUUUAUUUCAACUGUGAUAUAUUGAUAUAGUAGUUUAUUCAUUUUACUACUAAAGUGCUGUGAUUUUUUAUGUAUCUGUGGUAUCAAUAUUGCUCAUUUUUGACUUAUGUUGAUGGACAGAUUUACUUAAACCUUUUAACGUAUCUUGAUUCUAUCCAAAAUGAUAGUACUUGUACUAUAUCAUGUAAUGAUGUGCAAUUUGUUCAACUGAAUUACUGUUUUAUUUAUGUUUAGUAGUUAUUUACAUAUUACACUUUUCACUUUGCUAGCAAAUUCUGUAUUUUGUCAGUUUUCAUUUUAAAAAUGAUAUUGUAAUCAUAUAUACUAUUUUCCUUGGUUUAGUUGAAAAUGUAUGUAAAUAUUAUUUUGUAAAUAAACGUGUCCCAGUUCUA